UUGAUCAGCCACGCCGCCCUGAACCCGCCCGAUCCCGUCUGACCUCGGAAGCUAAGCAGGGUCGGGCCCGGUCAGUACCUGGAUGAGAGAGGCUGACAGUCCUUGAGCAGGAAGAU
rnacentral:rRNA from 1 species